CAAUAGUGAAACAUUGUAAUUAAUGUAGUGUACAUACAGUUCUCUUGGCUCAUAUUAAUGUGUAGGAUGCAUGUGUUAUUACAGUGUCAUACAGGGUAGUCUUACUGCUCCCCAACCUCUCACCCUGUGCUUCAUCUCUGUGUCCUUCUGUCACCGUACCAAGAGCCUUUGCAUCUACUAAUCUAGUUAAUGUCUCCAGUCUUUCCUUUUCAGAAUGUCUCCUGGUUGGAAUCAUGCAUACACACACAGCCACCUAAGACUAGCUUCUUCUAUUUAUUAAUGUGCUGGUCAGUUUUUGUCAACUUGACACAAACCUAGACAUAUUUGGCUAGAGGGAAUCUUAAUUGAAAAAAUGCCUUUGUAAGAUUGGCCUGUAGGCAAGUCUGUGGGGGUGUUUUCUCGAUUCAUGAUUGAUGUGGGAGGAGCCAGCCAACUAUGGGCAGUGCCACCCCUAGGCUGGUGGUUCUAAGUGGUACAAGAAAGCAAACUGAGCAAACCAUGGAGAGCAAGCCUAUAAGCAGCCCUUGUCCAUGGCCUCUGCAUCAGUUCCUGCCUCUGGGUUCCUGCCUUGAGUUCCUGCCCUGACUUCCCUGGAGGAUGAACUACAAGCUGUAAGAUGAAAUAAACCCUUUCCUCCCCAAGUUGCUUUGGGUCAUGGAGUUUAUCACCUCAAUAGAAAAGUAAUGGGAACAAACAGGAUGCAUUUAAGCUCUUGCCACCCCUUUUCAUGACUUGUGAAUUUAUCUUUUCAUCUGUGGACAACAGUUUCAUUGUGUGGAAUAGUUUACACAUCCAGUCACCUGUUGAAGGAUGUUGUGGCUGCUCCUAGGUUUUAGUGAUUAUGAGUGAAGCUGCUGUAAACAUGGAGUGCAGGUUUUGUGUAUGAAUGAAAAAAAGAAAUGAAAAGGAAAGGACAUGUCUGCUUCUAGGUGUGGUGGAGGAGAAAGUUUAUUGUAGAUAAAAGGGAGCGCAUAGACAGAGGCAGGGACGUCUGGGAGAGUCCAGAGUGAAUGUGACCAGAGGGAAAGGGGAGAAAAGGAGACCAGGUACAGCAGCCAAGAGGGCAAAAGGUAAAAGAAGGGUGGGUAACCAAAAUGGCUGGAUUAUAUAGGAAGAGCCUCUGAGGAAGGGCAGCCCAGCCCCUGGGCUGUAGAGUUCAGGGUAGGGCGUGGGGUAUGCCAGCCAUACCCUGUGACAGGUAGGGACUGAGGGAUGCUGGGAGGAUCUGAGCCAGGUCCACCUCUGAUAAGUUAAAUAAGCACUUCAGCCUUUUGUCCCAGGGUUUGAAACUUAGUGUGAGCAUAAGUUCUCAACUCAGUUGAGUAGUCUGAGACUAUACUGAACUGUGUGAGAUGCUAUCAGGCUGUCACUCAAAGGGGCUGGGCCACUUUGGACUCCAUACAGAGACCAGAGAGAACUCGUACUGUGCUGCAUUCCGCCAGUACUUGGUAUUGCUAGGUGCUUUUUCUCUUAGUUUUAGGCGUGUAGAGGUGGUUCAUUGUUUUCAUUUGUAAUUCUCUAGUGCAAUGUGAAAUUGGAUGUCUUUUCAUGCUGUAUCUAGGUGCCCUCUUUGGCGAAACAUUUUUCACAUAUCUUGCCAAUUCUUUAAUUGGGUUAUUUUCUUAAUAUUGAAUUUGAAGAAUUCUUUUUAUAGUCUGGAAUAAAAUGCCUUUAUCAAAUAUGUAUUUUAUGAACAUAUUCUACCCAACUGCAGCUUGCUUUUUCGUGCUUUUAUUAAUCUCUUGCAGAACAGCAAGUUUUAAUUUUAGCUAAGUCCAACUCGAUAAUUUUUCUUUUAAUUAUUAUACUUUUGGUUUUGUGUCUGAAAAAUCAUCUCCAAAACCAAGGUCAUAAAGAUUUUCUUCUAGGGUAUGUUUAUUUUUUUGUGUGUGUGUCUAUAUAUGUGCAUGUAUAUUUAUAUGCAUAAUCAUGUAUUCAUGUGUGUAUGCAUGUAUGUUAUUCACACGUAUAUGAAUUUGUGCAUAUGUUAUAUGACAAAACUUUUCCUGGAGAGAUGCAACACACACAUUUACUAACCCCAGAUAGGGAUCCCAUGACAGACCAAAGUAUGGAUAACACCAAAGUCCAAUUUGGUGAACUAGUGAGUUUUAUUGGGGUUACUUACAGGAAUAUGGGUGAAGGGUUACUUCUUACAGGAGCAGAAAUGACCCAAAGACAGAUGCAUCACCAAAGCUCACCCCAGCAUGAUUGACAGCUCACAAAGUCAGGAACCUGGAGCACACUGCACAGUCUGCAGGCAGCUCGACAGGUUGGAGAGUGUCCUUUCCAAGUGCCACAGCUGAUCUAAACCUCUUCCAGGCAGCUCAGCUGGUUUCUGCUUCUUCCAUGAAGCUGGACUGGUCUAAGUGUCUUCUUUGAAUUUCAGCGCUCUUCUGCCUGAGGGGAACUCUCAGCUUUUAUUAUUUAUUCUGGUAGGGACAGGCCUAGUGAAUCUGGUUAGUUUCAGGGACUUCCUGAAGCUAUUCCAACUUUCACCUUCCUGCGUAAGGAGCUUCCUGCAGAAUGGGAUGUUUUGAUCUUAGAGGAAACUGUUACACAACGUGCAUGUAUGUGCACAUUUACAUGUAUGUAUUCAUGUGUAUGUGUUCACAUAUGUAUACAUAUGUGUGUGUUCAUGUGUGUAUGUAUGGUGUACUGUUAGGUACACAUGCAUCUGUGUAUGCAUGUGUUCAUGUGUGUAUUCAUGGACAUGGGUUUGUAUGCAUGCAAAUGAAUGUGUGUAUGCAUGAGGAAGCCGAAGGUCCACCUCAGGUGUCUUCCUCAGCAGCUUUCUACCUCAGUUUUGAGAUAGGCUCUCUGGUGUUCACUGGAGCUCACCCCUUUGGAUAAGCUGAUUGGCUGGCAGGACUUAAGGACCCACUGUCCCCACCUCCCCAGUGUAGGGACUACAGGAAUGCCCAGCUUUGUUACUUGGGCUCCGGGGAUCAAACUCAGGUCCUUACAUUACAGAGUAAUUUUACCCAUUGAGCCAUCUCCCCAGCCAGAGAAGUUUUUGGUUUUAUAUUUAAGCUUACAGUACAGUCUGAAUUCAUUUUUUAUAUACAGUAGAACUCCAUAUUUUGAUGAUUUUUUUAAAGUAAGGCUAUCUCAAUGUUUCACUACUACUAGUUGAAAUGACUUGCGUUUCUCCAUUGAAUUUCCUUCUCUACUUUCUCAGUGAUAUGUUGUGUAUAUUACCUGGGUCUAUUUUAGACUGUUUUGUUCCCUUGGUCUGUCUAUCCCCCCAACCCCAGGUGCUGCUCUAUCUUGAUUAGUGAUCCUUCAUGGUCCUCUUAAAAUCAGCUAGCAUCUCUUUGGCUUUGUUCUUCUUCGAUAUUGUGUUGCCUGUGCCAUGUGUUUCUUGUUGUGAUUCUUCUUUGCCUUUUCAUGCCAUCCCCCAAACAGCCCACUAGGAUUUUGAUUAGGAUUUCACCUCAUCUGUAGAUCUGUAGAUUGAGUUGAGGAACAUUGGCCUUCCUGUCCUUGAAAAUAUGAAGUACCUCUACUUACAUCUUUGAUAUCUCUCAUCAGAAUUGUAUGGUUUCCUCUUACAGUCUGUAUAUAUUUUGAUGGAUCUACACCUAAGUAUUUAGUUGCUACUCAUGUGGAUAAUAUUGUGUUUUAGAUUUUGUAUUCUAAUUACUCAUUGUGGAAUAUGGAACAUAUCUGAAAAUAAUUAUUUUUGUAUGGUAAUCCUGUACUAGGCUACUUCGUAAUUGUUAAUUCUGGAGGACCUUUUGAAAUAAAUUCUUUUAAAAAUUAUCUAUACCUAUCUAUUACCAUCUACCUACCUGUCUAUCUAUCUAUCUAUCUAUCUAUCUAUCUAUCUAUCUAUCUAUCUAUCUACAUAUAUAUGUAUGUAUGUAUGUACCUAUGUAUUUGUCUACAUAUGUAUGUAUGUAUGUAUGUAUGUAUCUAUCAUCUAUCUAUGUAUCUACGUAUCUACGUAUGUAUGUAUGUAUGUAUGUAUGUAUCUAUGUAUCUAUGUAUCUAUCUAUCCAUCUACCGACGUGUACCUAUGUGUACAUGUGGAGGUAUGAGGACAAUUUGUGAGAAAGUCACUUUCCCCUGUCAUGAUGUAGGUUCAAGGUAAUAGAACUCAGGUCUCCAGACUGGACAGCAUGUCCUUUUACCCACUUAGCUAUUCCUCCAGCUUCUGUGUGGGGAGGGUGCCAAUUUCUUAAGAUCUUCAACAUAAUCAUGGCAUCUUCAAAAACGAGACAAUUUUAUUACAUUUCUCCACUGAUUUAAAUUUUGCACCCCUAUCUUAUUCUAUUAGCUUUUCCAGAAGAUCGAUUCGAAACCUUUUUUUUUUUUUUUCAAGCAUACACGUUCAAUGUUGUGUUCUUUUGGUUUUUGAGAUACAGUCUCAUGUAGCCCAGGCUGGUUUUGAACUUGUUUUAUACCCGGGAUGUGCAGGAUGAUGAGAGAACUCCUUUCAUGUUCCUGAUCUUAGUGGGGCAUUGUCUACCAGCUCAUCAUUAAGUACAUACAAUACCAGCUGUGGGAUGUGGGCUUUCUGUAUCGAGGUAAGAAACUCCCUUUUCAUUUUACUUUCAUGGUUUGUUUUUUAAUCAUGAAUGGAUGUUGGAUUUCAUCAGGUAAUUUCUGCAUCUAUUGGUAUGAACAUGAAUUUUUUCUUUGUUAACCUGUUGAUAUCAUGGAUUCUGUGAACUGACUUUUAAGGUUUUUUUUUUUUUUGAGAUAGGGUUUCUCUGGGGGCCCUGGAACUCCCUCUGUAGAGCAGGCUGGCCUUGAACUUGGAGAUCUGCUUGUCUCUACUGCUGGGAUUAAAGGCAUGUGCCACCACACCUGGGGACUUUUGAGUUUUGAAUCAGUGCUACAUACCUGAAAUAAACCCAUUGGCGCUCGAUGUAAAUUCUUUUUUCUGUGCAGGUGAAUUGUGCUUGUGAUAUUUUGCAUCUGUGUUCAUGAGUAAGAUGGUCUGUAGUUUUCUUUUCUAGUUGCAAUCUGGUUCUGGUGUCAGGGUUUCGAUGAGCUCACAGGAUAUUAUGAGAUACUUGUCCUCUUCUGUUUCCUACAAGAAACGAUAGAGACUUAGUAUCAUUUUUUUCCUUCACUGUUUAGUAGAAUUUUAAUGAAACCAUCUGGACUUGGUAAUUCCUUUUUGGAAGGCUAUUAAUUAUUACUUCUAUCUUUUUUCUGUUCAUAUGAUCUACUUUCUCUACGUGUGCAUUUUAAUAGUUUGUAUCUGUGAAAGAAUUAGUCCAUUUCAUUUAAGGUAACAGAUAUGUAGGCAUGCGACUGUUUUUAAUCUUCCAUCACUGAGCUUUAACACCCUUGGGACCGGUAGAUUCAGCUUCUGUGUCAUUUGCAAUGUUAGUAAUUUGUAGCUUGACGAGUGCCUUGUCUUAAGAAAUUAUUUUAUCUUAUUUUUGUGUACAGGUGUUUUGCCUGCAUGAACAGUACCCACCUUCCCCCCCGCCUUGGUUGCUGGGAAUUAAAUCUGGGUCCUCUGGAAGAGCAACCAGUGCUCCUAACCACCGAGUCACCUCUCCAGUCCUGUAGUAUUAUUAUUUUUUUAAAGAGUGAGCUUUUUUUUUUUUUGACUUCUCAUAUUGAUUUCCCAUCUCCAUUUUAUUGAUUCCUGCUUUGAUUAAACUGUUGGUUUGAUUAUCCGCCUUUGGGUUUAUACUGUUCUCGUUUCUUUAGUUUCCUGAGAUGGGAACUCAGAUGAUUGGAUUCAUCUCUCUUGUUUUCUGUCUCGUGUGUGUGUGUGUGUGUGUGUGGGGGGGGGUGUUGUUUUGAGACAGGGUCUCUUAUAGCUCUGGCUUGCUUCAGACUUGCUAUACACUCAAGGUUGACUUUGAACUCUUGGUCCUCCUGCCUUCACAUCCCAAGUGGGAGGGAUUACAGAUGUGUAUUAUCAGGGAGGCUUACCGCUAUCCAAUGAGAAAUUCUCAGCACUCAGAGACAAAAGGAAAAACUCUUAAUUAGUGCACCGAUGUAGCCUCUAGCUAUUACUUAAAGAGGCCCCGCCCCCAUCAGAAAUAUUUCAUAGCUUACAUAGACAUAAGCAUUUUCAUCAUCUUUUCUAUGUGACCAUUGACCAUUCUACGGCAGUCUUUUCGCCCUCACCCUAAAGGAGAUAUUCCUUGGAGCUAAGUUUUCUAGAAGCUGAAAUUUGCAGGUUUCUAGGUAAGACAGUUUUAUCUUUAGCAAACAGAGCUCACUGUCUACGCUUUUCCAGGAAAGGAGGGGAAAGCAGGUGUACAGAAGACAGUAGUCCAGUUUUGGCUCCUGUUGUCUGGGAUUAGAUGCAGGUUUUUAUCCUGUUUUCUUCUUACUAUGUAACCUACGACUUCCCAAGUAAACUUGUUGAUCAUAUUUCAUUAAUGUUAAAGCUUGUUAUUUUUCCUUUCUCUUUCAGUACCACCAUGCCUCCCAGACAUUGUCAGUUUCCUGAGAAAUCCACAUGCUGAUGCAUCCACAAAUCGCGAUACAUUGUAUUUCCAUCUUUACCUAGCUUAAAAUAUUUAAAAAUUUAUCUUGGGAAAAAUUCAGGCAAUCUGAGAGGCACAGAAAGUACGGCUAUUUGUUUCUAAUAUGAAGGUUUGUUGAAGGGGGAGGACAAGCAGGUAGAAGCAGUUGGCUGCUUUCCUCAAGGCCUCCAGUAAUUGCUCAGCUCAACACGCUUGCUUCCUCUUGGCCCGAGGUGUGGCCACACCCUCUUCACAAUGAACCUGAGGGCCUGCUUGCCCUUAGAGAUCUUGAGUAGCUUCUUCAUGGGGUACUGCUCUGAAAGUGUCGAGCCACACUGCUCCCAGAUCAUGCCCCACAAAUUUGGUGUGUUUGCUGAGUCUCGACUUGCUGACAUUCUUCAUCAUCCUGUGACCCUUGUUGAGGCCCAAGACCAUGGAGUGGGGCCGAGCCAUGGCUGCUGUUCUCCAAUGGCUGCUGAAUGGGAAAGACCACACCCCUAUGGUCUUAAGUCAUUACAAAUCUAUAUUUCAAGCUGUAGAAAAUUCAGUUUAUCCUACUGAUAACGGGGAGACAAGGACUUAGAAGAGCAGUGGUCAUGGUUCUCAGUGUUAAAUAACAGGAACCGAAUCUCGUGAAAUCGUUGAAAUUAAUGUGGGACUGCUCAGAAUGUUUUUAGGAAGCCUGCCAGAUCCAGAUUAUUGGCUGCACACCUAGAAACAAACCUCCAAGUCCUGAAACAAAGCUAAGAGAUCCAGGUGUAGAGUGCUUGUCUUGUGAGCGAGUGAGGGAGUGCGUGCAUAUGUAUUAUGUAUGUACGUAUGUAUGUGUGGGGUGUGUGUGUGUGUGUGUGUGUGUGUGUGUGUGUGUGUGUGUGUAUGUGCAGGGUUUGAUCCCCAGCACUGAUAAAACAACAACAUAAAACAAACAACAACAACAACAACAAAAAACAAGACAAACAAAACAAAUCCCAAGUCCGUCAAGACUCCACUGUUGUUGAGACCAGGCACAGACACCGGCAGUUCUGGACUUGGUCCAGGAGCCUGGAAGGAGUGGCUGCCUCACAUAGCACAGAGAACUGGUGGUGCCCACCUCUUCCUAGGGCCUGCCUGCAAUGCAGUCUCGGAGGGUUCUGAUGGGCUAGUUCCACAGCACAGCAGUCUCUGCUCUGCUAAGAAGCAAAGUGGUCCAAGUGGGAGAGCGCUGCACUUUGAGAUGACCCAGGGAGGGAGCCUGGACUCUCAACAGGGUGAGUCUGUGCACACCGUUUGACUGUGAGCUCCUGGAGUGGCGUAAUGGUAAAAGGAGAGCAGAGUUUUGAGGAUCGGGCGUUCUCCAGCCUGGAUAUGGUCAGCAUAGCACCCAGCAACAGCCCUGCCCUAGGCAUAAAUUGGGCACAUCAUGUUCAGAUUAAAUGGAAGGCCUAAAUGUCAGGUUCAAGACCUUGGCCUUUCAAUACUGCCUAUCUCUUCUACCAUAAAAUUAGGCUCUAUCUAGGGACUUUUUUGUUUGUUUUUUUGUUUUUUUUUGAGACAGGGUUUCUCUGUGUUGUUUUGGUGCCUGUCCUGGAUCUCGCUCUGUAGACCAGGCUGGCCUCGAACUCACAGAGAUCCGCCUGCCUCUGCCUCUGCCUGCCGAGUGCUGGGAUUAAAGGCGUGCGCCACCACUGCCCUGCUAUCUAGGGACUUUUAUCUGCUUUGUGUGAUGAAACCCCACAGUGAGAACAGGCCCAGAAGACUGACUCCUCACUAGGUGUUUGCUGAAUAAGUGAACGGGUGAUAAACUGAUGAGUAUCUGUUGUGCCAGUCUUACCAACCUAGACCCUUGAGUCCAUGUUCAUCCAGGGAGUUUCUUCCUGACUUAGUGACUUGGUUUUACCUUUUUUCAGCGUCACUGCAGAGGGUUCAAAAGGGCCCAUCUGUCCAGGCAGCUUCCAUCCCUGCUUCUCUGGGUGUCAUGUUGGGCACCUGCUACGUUCUGAGAAGAGAAGCCCGCUCUGCUCCCUCCCACGGCCCUUCCAGCCCAGCACCCCACUUCCUUCUCUGUCUUAGCUGCACCUCUCUCUCCAGUCUUGGUUCUGAAUUUCCCCUUGCUCAGUUGGACCUCAGCCGAUGUGUCUCACUACAUCAGUCUCUACCUUUGAGGGAUGGCAAUCAGCCUGUAAAAGAACUUUCCUCUGACUGAUCCCUGUGUAUACGCAAAAGUCAUGUCGUAGCCACAGAGACCACAGAUAAAGCCUGUGGGACCUAGAAAGGACUUCAUAAGUCAUCCACUCUUGCCUCUUCUGAGGUAGCCUUUGCACCUGCUGCCCUCCUACCUGCCUAGAGUGUCCCCUUGAUCUUCUGAUGGCUGGCCUCUUGUUACUGCAGGCUUCAGUAUAAAAUUCACCUCUUCAUAGAGCUCUGCCUGGAGGACUCCAUUUAAAGUAGCCACCUAGGGCCAUUCCAUCCUAAGACUGUACUGUAGGGAUCGGCCUGAUGCUUACCACUAGUUCAUACAUACAGUUAUUCAUUUAUCCACCACACAAGCAGAUGAAUAGUGCACGGCACAUAUUAGAAACUUAAUAAUGUGUGUGUGUUGCGUGUGUGUGUGUGUGUGUGGUAUGUGUGAGGGUGCACACUCUUGUUUGUGUGUGUGCAUGUGGAAGCCAGAAAUUUCAGUAUUGGUGUCUUCUAGAUCACUCUCCACUGUAUUUUAUUGAUUCAGGGUCUCUUGCUGAACUUGGAGAUCACCUAGGCUAGUCUAGCUAGUGGGUUUGUCUUGAGGAUCCCCUGUCCUCCUUUCAAACUCUGGGAAGAUAGGCAGGUCAUCAUGCCCACCUGGUUUUUAAUGCAGCUGCUGGGGAUCCAAACUCUACUCUCCAUGCUUACACAGCUGAGCCAUCUCUUCAGCCCCCAGUAAUAUCUGUUAAGUGAAUGAAUCCAGUUUAAGGCCAGGAAAGAAAAGUGACCUUUGCAAGGUCACAAGACUGGCCAGUGAAGAGCACAAAUAAGAACCUGCGACUCUUGACUCUGGUCUUGGCUUUUCCUAUCAUACUAGUUUUCAUAGUGACAGUGUAAAAUGGACAAACAUUUCUCAGUAUGUGUGUUUGUCUCCACAUUGGCUGUUAGUGCAUGCCAGUCAUACCUACUGUCUUAGUUAGGGUUUCUAUUGCUGCAAUAAAACACCAUGAUCAAAAAGCAAGUCAGGGAGGAAAGGGUUUAUUUGGCUUACACUUCCAUAUUGCUGUUCAUCACGGAAGGAAGUCAGGGUAGGAACCUGGAGGCAGGAGCUGGAGCAGAGGCCAUGGAGGGGUGCUGCUUACUGACUUGCUCCCUAUGGCUUGCUCAGUCUGCUUUCUUAUAGCACUCAGGACCACCAGCCCAGUGAUGGCACCACCCACAAUGGGCUGGGCCUUCCCCCGUCAAUCACUAAGCCCCACAGCUGGAUCUUAUAGAGGCAUUUUCUCAAUUGAGAUUCUCUCAAUUUAACUCUGGUUUGUGUGUCAAGUUGACAUAAAACUAGCCAGCACAAAUACUAAAUUGGUAGAAUUUAUGUUUUCCUAAACAAGGACACAGAGCCUUUAGGAUGCUAAGUGAGUUGCCAGGCAUAUCCUCCUCCCCACCUCCGGCCCGCCCCCCUGCAGGCAUGGCAUGCAUGUGUGCGUGCAUGCAUGUGUGUGUGUGUGUGUAUGAGACAGAGAGGGAGGAAGAGAGAGAAAGGGGGAAGGAGGAGGGAGGUAAAGAAUAUAAAUAUCUGGGGUCUGAAACCAGCUUACUCUGACAUUCAAGUUCUUUGUUCUGCAUCCACUGCCUGACUCUUUCUAGGUACCAUUUGUACUUUACUAGUGUGUCUGCACAGAAAACCUAAGCAGCAGGUAAUGGGAAUUUUGGGCACUAUAGUGGGCUGACAGCAGGUAUGGGGUAGGAUGGUUAUACAGCUUUCCUUUUGUCCUUCAAAUGGCAGUAUAGAGGUGACAUCUGUCUCUGUCUCACAAGUGGGGCUCAUUGCUCCAGGGUCCUGGAAUGCAACUGUCACAUGGUGUAAGUGGCCUUGAAAGGUGUGUCAUCUGGAUGAAAAACCUCUACUCAGCUCCAUUGGACUGAUAGGGCCAGCAAAGCCUGGAUCCCCUGUUCAUUCUGGCACCAUCCCUGCCUUCGUUCUUCUGAGCUCAUGGUGCAGCUUUCUGGCUGACUCUGAACCUUGGACAAACUCAGCCGUCCCUCCUCGGCACAGCAGACUAGACUACUCCUCGGGAUGUGGUGAACUUCUCUGAGUGGCUUCCUUCCCAGCCAAUGUUCUCCUGCUCAGUUGUGCUCCUGGUUCCAGCUCUUCCUGUCUUUUCUUGCAGAGUCCAGGGCAGGGAGAAUUCAGGUGCCAAGCCGGCAGAAACCCACCAUCCUCCACAAGAAACAGCAGAGACUCCAGUUCCUGCGUCACUAUUGGAGGAGGAUGAAAGCCGUGCCCAGAGACGGACUGGAGACUCCACCUCCCCUGCCAGCAUCCCUGGAGAUGAGGUACCUGACGCACUUGGCUGUCUCCUGCUUGAAUCUCUGCAGCUUCUCUUUGGCACCUAGAAAUUUGAGCUUGAAGAGGUGAAGUGACUUUUCUCAGGUCACCAGCUGGAAUCUACAUCAGUUGUCCUGGAUUGGCCCAGACCAGAGCUUGAAGAGGGGACUCAGGCAUCAGUAAUUUAAAACACUUCCUGGAGAGGGCUGGUGAGACGGCUGGGUAGGUAAAGGGGCUUCUGGCCAGGCCUGACAACCUGGGUUUGAUCCCUGGGAUUCCCAUGGUGGAAGGAGAGAACUGACUUCUGCAAUGUGUCCUCUGGCCUUCACACUUGAGUUGUGGCACACACACAAAAUAAAUAAGUAUAAAAACAAAUUCUUAGAUGGUGACAGUGGACAGCAGGGCUGAGAGAAACUGCUAGACUCUUAGUGGUGAUUCUCAGUGUGGGUUCCUGAGUCUCAGUACCAACAUCCCCCAGGAACUUAGCAAUGACCAAUCUCCUGCCCCAUCCCUGACCUUGAACCUGAAGCUGGAGGGCGGGCUUAGUACAUAUGUCUCAGCAGCCUCUCAAAGUGAGCUCCUUGGGCUAGCUACAGCAAAGCCACCUGUAAUAUCUAAUAGCAUGCAGAUGCUUGGGUGGGUGCUACUCCAAACCUUCUGAUUGUACAGAGGAUGGGCAGGGACCAUUUAAACAAACCCAGUGGAAGGGAUCCUGCAAUAGCCCCAUAUGUUUAAGAAGCAGUCCUGAAGGGCUGGUUGACACAACACCUAGUCUUUUCCCCAAAGCACCUUUUCAAUCUACAGGACCAGUUCACUAUCACAGUAACGAGAAAAUAGUGAAUGUGGCCAGCUUUGCUCAUAGCAUACAUGGGGUCUCAGGAGGAACCUCUCCCUGGCAUUCUUAUCCAGUUCUGCCUAGCAGAAACCCUGUAACACCAUGGCUUUUGAUCUCAUGGGCUCCUUGAUCCUAGAUCCACUGUGAAAAUAUGUGUGGAAAUAGAAAUACUCCUGGGCUGCACACUGACCUCUGCCUUAAGAACACUCAUUAAGUCUGAGUGAGGAUGAAGUAGUUAACACAGGACAGAAAAUCUCCAGAAAGCAGCAUGGCCCAGACCAGAGGCUCCGUGAGUGCCUUCCCCUGUCAUCAUUACAGGGAGGAAGGGAAAUGGAGGCAUUCCUGGGAUGGAAUAGAACCUGCUUUUCUAGGAGAAAAGGUUGCCAUCAGGCAUGGAACCACCGAGGGCGCAGGGAGAAGGGUGGCUAAGUUACUUGGGGAGCCCCCUUCUGUCCCGAAGAGGGAGAAGUUUUGGUGUGUCCUCGUCUACGCAAAAGAGUUAGACUCUGUCACAUGGGCUUGCUGAAGAAUCUUAUCUGGCGGAUGGACAGAGAUGACCUGCUCAGCUGACCUGAAUCACAGUGAGCCCUGGUGAACCCAGCUCCAGACUUUCCUGAAGCAUGGCAGGCAGUGUGGUGCGGUUCAAGGUGGCUCUUCAUGACGUAGCAUCAGGCCUCUGGAGGAAGUAACGGCAGUUCAAAUGCCACUUUUGAGGGCUCUAUUGCAGUCUGCUUCAUGAAAUGCAGUGAAGCACGGGGGCUAAGUUGUAGCCCCCAGGCAUGCCUGCCAUAGACUUCUUGUGGCCGAGCCACGCUCCCCUGCACCCCCGAGGCUGUUCUAACUGGCUUAUAAGGCAGCAUGUGUUAUCCCUGAGCACAACAGGAAGCAGAGGGGAGCAGGCCCCAAGUGCAGGCAGCAAUGGAAGCUGGAUUUGAAGAUGAUACCGCACACCUCUGUGCGUUCUUCGUAAACAGAAUGUUCUAGCACAUCUGCAGAACUCAUCAGUGUUGGCUCCUUCUCCCCUCUGCCCCUGACCCGAGCACUAAUCCAGGAGACAAGGCCCUGGGAACUGUGGUGUACACACCUUGGAGAGGGCAGGUGGGGUGCAGAGGACACCCCACAUGCCCUUUCCAAAGGUGUUUGCAGAGACUCUGCUCUCAUGAUCCCUGGGAGGGAGGGGGUGGUGUUCUCUUCCCUCUCUCCCCAGUUUUAUUAGGAAGGUGAAGUGCCUCACCCGAGGUUGCUGGCUGGGUUCUGACACAACUCCCUACUGAUGUGGUUAGCUGGAUGAUCUAUUUCUUGUGUGUCAGUCUUGUCCCCUGCCCGCCCCCCCUCCCCAGCUGGGCGAGACUUCAUGGAAGAAUAUUUGCACAUUGUCUGAAAUAGUCUUGUGUUGCCAUCUCCUAACUUUUCUACUUGUAUGUUGAGCCGCUGAGUGAGACGUAAGUGGCCGUACUUUGGGAUGUGAAAGCAGGUAAGCUAGAAAUUGGGAAACCUUGCCUUGCCCAUCCCAGGACAACUCAGAACAGCUCAGAAGAAGGCCUAGGGGUAAGAGACAAGGUGGGUUCUUUCCCUGUGUUAUGCUGGGGUGGGGGGUGGGGGACGUUUAUCACACACACACACACACACACACACACACACACACACACACACACACACACACACCCCUCUCCCUCUGGUUGUCUCUCAGGGUCCAGAGAUCAAGAAGGCAGAUUAAGGAGCUGAGAGCAGGGGGUGCAGGAGUGUGCUGGUCUGUAUUGCUUGUUUAUAGAAAACUAAGUUAUUAAAAAAGGAAGAGCACCAACUGUAACACAUCAGAAUUUCACACCGACCACCACUUAUCUUUAAAUAGAGAGUAGGUGGAUACUCGGUGGCCCGGGCAGAGACCCCACAAGCGUGACUAUUAUCUUCUUAUAUCGGUAACCAAAGUCUGAUUUUUCUAUCAGAAUUACUUCAAAGCCCCCACCCUACCCCAAUUCUCACAUGGCUCACAUCUACCUGUCUUUUUGCCUCACAGUCUCUGCCCUCCCCUUUCUCAGAGAAGGGCUCUGCCCAGAGCACCCUGUCCUGGAGCUAAUAGGGCUUUAUGAGAGUCUCUUGGAGAACAGAUUGUCCUCUGCUGUGUGCCUGUGGUCCUUGCUCAGAUGCCUUAGGCUGUGGAGCCCAAGGACAGCAAGUCACACAUAUGCCAAGGACUUGGGGACUAGAUUGCAUUAUGUUGCCCAUGGCAACCAGUUCCAAGGCCAGUUCUGCCUCUGGCUUGGCUACCUGUGUUUGAAAACUACGGGGCUUUCUUUGCCCCCAACUCUUCCCCAGCAUAAAGUAUAAAUGGCAAAUACAAGUAAAAAUGUCUUGUUUAAAGUAGACAACACAGUACUUUGACAUACAUACAUACAUACAUAUACUAAAAAAAUCCCCACCAUAUACAUACAUCAUCAUAUUUAGAUACCGUGCGUGCGUGUGAGUGUGUGUGUGUGUGUGUGUGUGUGUGUGUGUGUGUGUGUGAGUGUGUGUGUGUGUGUGUGUGUGUGUGUGUGUGUGUGUGUGUGUUGAGAACAAUUAAGAUCCAUCUUUCUAGAGAAUUUCAAGUUCCAGCGCAGAGUGUUAACUGGAGUCACCAUCCUCUCCAUUAAUCUCCAGAAAUUACCCAGCCUGCACAAUGAAGGUUUGCACCCUUCCACAAACAUCUGGGCUUCCCUUUCCCUCCAGACUCUGCCAGCCACCCUCCACCUCUCACUUUGGUGCCUUUCACUGUUGUACAUUCCACCUAUGAAUGAGGCCAUGCAUGGUUGUCUUUCUGUGUCUGGCUUAUUUUACUUAGCAUAAUGUCGUCUAGUUUUAUCCACGUUUUCACAAAUGGCAGGAUUUCCUUCUAUUUUAAAGGGUGAAUUGUGUGUAUUUCCUGUACCACGGUUUGGCUUUUUAUUCAUCCAUUGAUGGACAUUUGGAUUGAUUUCAUAUCUUAUCUAUUAUGAAUAGUACUGCAAUGAACAGACACCACAAUUGGGUCCCAGUUUCAUUUCCUUUGAAUAUAUACGCCCAGAUAUUGCAUUGCUAGAUCGUGGGCAGUUCUGCUUUUGGUUUCGGGGGGAUCUCCCUGCUGUUUUCCACAGUGGUUGUGCUAAUUCACAUUCCCAUCAAGAGUUUAAGGCACAAACUACUACAUGCUACUUGAUAGUUUAUAGGUUUCGCUCCCUCUACAAUGUGAAAUAUGUUUUUUCUUCUAGAAAUAUUCUGUUUCUCUCUCUCUCUCUCUCUCUCUCUCUCUCUCUCUCUCUCUCACACACACACACACACACACACACACACACACACACACACACAGAAAGAGAGGCAUGUAUAACCCAUAUACCCCACACCUACCGUCUUGAGGCUCUGUAUUGUUCUUAUAGAGACUUCUGGAGCAUUGACUCUGAAUAUGAGCCUGAAGGGUUGAUUCUGGAUCUCCAAGUUGAUAAAUCAGUGCAGAUAACAACCAUGGACACACAAUUCACCUGGUGUCGAAGACCCAAGACCUUCUGGUUUAUUUCCAGCUUGCUGUGGGCAAGAUCUGCAAUGUUGCUGUGUCUUAUCUAUUCAUUGGAUUAAAAUACACAUCUCAUAAGUUUAUGGUGAAGAUGAGGUGAAAUAAUAGUGUGGGAAUCCUAUAAGGAUUAAAUGAUGGGUGAAAAUGUCUUGGAGGCCUGGAACACCAUUUAUCUGUGUCUUGCAAGGCACUGCCUGGAAUCUACAAAAGAAAUGGACUAUAAAAACUUGUGGUAAAAUAUAUAGGUAACAUAAAGCUUACCAUAAUAACCUCUUUUAAUUGAACAGCUCAGUGGCAAUAACUGCAUUCACAUUGCUGUGUAACCAUCCUCAAAUCUUGAAAACCUCUUCAUACUAUAAAACAGAAACUGUGCCCAUUAAACAACUCUUCCCUUCUCCCUCCACAGCCUUUAGUGACCAUCACUCCAUGACGUCUCUAUGGAGACACUAAGGGCCUCGUGGAAAUGGAAUCAUGUGGCAUCUAUCUUCCUAGAUUCUUUCACUCUAUAUGUUCUCCAGGUCCAUCUACUCCAUAGCAUGGUUAGGGAUUUUCUUCCUUUAUAAGCCUGGAUAAUAUUUGGAGGGCAUUUAAAAAAUGUCUAUGUAAUAUAAAACCCCUAGCCUAUGUGAAGAGCCAUAGGAAAUGACAAAGUAGCACAUUUAUAAUUAGCAAUAACAUAAAUAAUUAUAAAUGACAGACACAGUCCAGCAAUGGUAAGGAAGUGAUCCCUGCCUGUGCCCUGGACUGUCUCUAAGUGCUUAGCAUCCUGCAGGACUGCAUCUGGGUCAGGUAUACAGUUGUGUUAAUAAGAACCUGUGGUCUAGGACAGGGAUUCCCAAACAGAUCACACCAAGCAGUGAUGAACAAGUUCAAUUUGCUGCUAGAGCUCCAGGAGUGAGAGAUCACACAGCUGGGAAGCAACUGGAACAUUGGCAAAGGGGAGGUUGAAGAACAGAGCAGGGAGGUCAGCAGUUUCCUGGGCAGUCUGGGUUUUGGGACAGGGGCCUUUCUGUACAGGUGAUAAAGGCAGGCUCCAAGCAGGAGUGGAGAGAAGAGCUAAGAUAAUUACAGCAAGCUAAUAAUUCCCAACAUAAUUCCCGUCUUCCAGUGCGUCCUGGAGACCUGCAGGCAGAGGAGCUACUGCUAAUGGUGGCCUUACAUAGGCACUUUGGACAGCAGGCUGAAUGGGGAAGACUGGCAUUUACCAAGAUCAGUGAUGAGAGAAUCUUGUGCUGGAUCAGGGAGAAGGAGAGGAUGAUUUCACAGUGGUGGCCACUCACCACACAGAGCAAUAGCUGAUGCCAGGUUGGUGUCAUCUGAAUAAUUGAUUGGCAGAUAUUUUUGAAAGGACAAGGCCAAGGACACAAUCCUAUAUUCAAACAGGAGAAAAUGUUAUCUUCAUUGACACUGACCCAUGGAGAUCAACACUGUGGUUGCAGCUGUCCCACUGGCUACGAUGCUAUGGAAGGACAUGAAAUACAGUGACUGAGACCGAACACUGUAAAGAUAUCCAGUAUUUCCAGGUGAAUUCUUAGGUUGAGGUUCAAGACAAAAUCCCAUCAAGUUUCCUUCAUACAACCUGAUGAGCUGAUUCUCAGUUUUCUUUGGAAGAACACAGGAAUGUACUGGUUGAGGAAGAAAUAACAAGAACUGAGAGAAUGAAUCUUUUGGAAAACAGCUCAAGACUUAUUAUUAUAAAGCUAUAAUGAUCAGCACUGUUUGGUAUUGAUACAGGAGAGGCAAAAGAUCAAAGGAACAGAAAAGAGAUUGCAGAAAUAAAACAAUAAAGCAGCAAGCACAUAGCAAUUUGCUCGGGUACAGGGUGCGUUGUGCAUCUUUGGGAACACCGCGGCAAUUACAAAGUGACACCGGGCUAUGUGGCAGUCUGGAACGGAAAAGUGUUCUCUUUAGCUCAGAUCUGAACUAACACAGAUCCUAGGGUGCUUAAAGACCUAGAGAUAAAAAGAAAAGCUUCAGCAUAUUGGAAGAAAAUUCAAGAGAAUGUCUUCAUGACCUUCGAAGUAGGAAAUGUUUUUAAAAUAAGAUGCCAAAAGCAGGAGCAAAAAUGAGAAAUUUGAUUCAUUUGACUCGAUUAAAAUUACAAAUAUUCAUUUAUCAAAAUACAAGUGAAAGGUCAAACUUACAGACUUGGAAAAGACUUUUUUUUUACAGCUAUAAAAGAUAAAUAAUUAGUAUUCAGAAUCUGAUAAAGCCUUUCACAAGCCAACAUGAAUAAUACAAAUAAUUGAUGAGAAGAAGUGAAGAAUAUUACCAGAGACUUUUACAAAACAAAAGUCAAAAUACAGAAGAAUGCAUUCAAAAUGCUCCUGCGAUGCUCUGCCUCUGUGAAUAGGCAAGUGCAAACCAAAGUCAUGGUGGGUUUGCUUCUGACCUACUAGAUUGACAGCUUUUCUAAGUCUGAUGAUAACAAAUGUGGAGAAGGAUGUGGAGCAUGGGCCAGACCUGACAGCAAGAGAGAGCUAGGAAAUGCCAAAGCUUCUGUGUGCUUAGAUAAAAGUCUCAUUGUUAGGUAAAACAAGGAGACAAGCUGUUGGGGAGCUGAUGGAUGGUUCCAUGGUGCCGCCAUGGAAAGCUUGGAAAUGGCUAAUAAGGCUGAAAUGUGCAGCAUAUGGAUAUAGUAAUUUCAUGCACAGGUGUGAAUGCUAGAGACAUCCCUGGUAUGGGCCAGGAAGCAUUUUCCUGUCACAUUGUGACAACAGAUAAUCAGGAGCAAUAUGGAAGACCGUACACAUGGUUCUUCAGCCUGAACCAUCAACCCAUCCGUGAGCAGGAGUGUGGACAAAGCAUUCAGUCCAUGGCGACUCUUCUGAUGAUGGAAAUGCUGGGACCAAAUCCACAUGGCUAACAUGGAGAUGUCUCAAAACCACGAGGCUGAGAAAAGAUAACAAACUGCAGAAGGAGUCUUAGAGGGAGGUGCCAUUUACCUAAAGAACAGGGGCACAUCUCACCAGGAGACCCCACUUUGGCACCAUCGUGGUGGAAGGAUACAUGGUGCUUGCCACUGAGCACUCUCAGGAUCCCUCCACGGCCGGGUCCUGCUCCGGGAGGUGAGAUGUGCCAGACAGGAACACAGGCUGUCAUUGUCACACAUGGCUCUGAUUGCUGCUGACGUGGACACUCAGAGCCCAGGCUCCCAGGCCAGAUUUUCUGUCUGAAGUUGCAUACCACUGGAAGGAUAAAACGUCUUCGUGCUGGGAAGCCUCCUAAGAGUGGUUUUGACAGAGAUGAUAAAGGGACACAAGAACCAUUCACAUUAAGAGCCAUAUGGAUGGAAGGACAGGGGGUCCCAGGUGGGGCCUCCUCAAGCCAUCUACUGGAGUGUGAGAUUUUAGACUUGUGUUAACUGUGUCAUUACUGUUACCGAAGUGUGAGGAACCUCAGUCCCGCUCUUCUCCAUGGAAGAUGUCUGCUAACUGAAAAGACAUGCCUGAGUCUGAUCUCUUGGGGCCACAGAUGUCCAUGUGUUCUCUGAUUGGCUGGCACAGAAGCUGCUGGACAGAACCUGAUGAACAGAACCAACUGUUUUCUUCAGAAUAAUCUACACAUAAAUAGACUAUGGACUGAUUUCAAGUUGUAAUUCCAUGCACAUCAAGUCUAGCUGGCUCAAGCCAAUGGAUGGAGUUUUGGAGGGAUACUGAAGGAUCUCACAAAACCAAUGAAGAGCUAAGCAUCAAAGGGGGGAAGAGACUGGGCUGCAUCUGGAGACCCCAGAGAAGGAAGACUCGGGGAAGUCGCUGAGGUGGGCUGUCCCUGUUGGAAGGACACAGAAUCCAGAAGUUGCUUUGUGGGUUUCCUUGGCUGUGGGGACUUGGCCAUACUUGCAGUCAUUUCCUGCUUGAUCGUGGGCAAACCUCCUGACAUUUUUGUUUCUUAAUUUCAUUAUUAUACAGAAGCAUAAUAAAGCUCACCCUUGUCUUAGAAAGUGAUUUGGAGAUGACAUCUGGAAGUUAGGAGUGCUGGGAAUUUUGAACUUGUGUUGGCUCAGGGAACUGGACCACACUAGCAUGUGUAAGUGUGUGUCAUUCUUAGAACGUCAUUUCGUAGACAGGACAGUUAGCUGCCCCCAAAUGCUGCCACUGCAGUUUGUAGAUAGAGGUGACUCUGCAUGCUGCUAACUUUGCUCUGAAGCACAGGCUUUUCUGAGCCAGACUGCAGCCACCAUAACUUAACUGGCUCCACCUAAUCGAUAAUUCGGAAAUCUAAAGGCCAUUCAGUGGCUAAAGGCUUUUUAUUUAGCCUUUGUGCUUGGGUAUUAAUGUUAUCCCUGUGGCAUCUAAAUGGCAGCGCUAUUUAUGGAUUGGAAGUCAUUCUGACAGUGUGGCUCCUGGCUAUCCAUCUAGGUGAGUGAAACUCGCGGGACAAACAGGGAUAUUUUGUGUUUGCUGAUGCUAUGGAUUCUACCUAAUUUUUCCGUAGCAGCAGCCACAAAGGGCAGCAGAGAAAGAGCUCCAUUGUUUGAGGACAGAUGAAGCCAUCAGCUCUGUGUUUGAGUUCUAACUACUCUGGUCUAAGUCCCUGCAGAGAUAAUGUGGUGCUAUUUAUUGGUGUUUCUCAACCUUUUUGAGGUUUAGGAUUCUUUUAGUUGAAAAAUAAUAGGAUCAUGGGUAUGAGAUUAAUUGAAUGAUCACCAAUUGAGAAUAUAUAUAAUUUACUAUAAGAUGCGGUGUAUUUAGUAAUUUCCAAUGAGUUUAUGUUGAAUUCAUUAAAAUGACA